rnacentral:rRNA from 1 species
UACGUAGGGUGCAAGCGUUGUCCGGAAUUAUUGGGCGUAAAGAGCUCGUAGGCGGUUUGUCGCGUCUGCUGUGAAAACUCGGGGCUUAACCCCGGGCCUGCAGUGGGUACGGGCAGACUAGAGUGCGGUAGGGGAGACUGGAAUUCCUGGUGUAGCGGUGAAAUGCGUAGAUAUCGAGAGGAACACCUGCGGCGAAGGCGGGUUGCUGGGCCGACACUGACGCUGAGGCGCGAAAGCCAGGGGAGCGAACGGG